rnacentral:rRNA from 1 species
UACAGAGGUCCCAAGCGUUGUUCGGAUUCAUUGGGCGUAAAGGGCGCGUAGGCGGUACUUCAAGUCAGACGUGAAAUCCCCAGGCUCAACCUGGGAACUGCGUCUGAUACUGGAUGGCUUGAAUCCGGGAGAGGGAUGCAGAAUUCCAGGUGUAGCGGUGAAAUGCGUAGAUAUCUGGAGGAAUACCGGUGGCGAAGGCGGCAUCCUGGACCGGCAUUGACGCUGAGGAGCGAAAGCUAGGGGAGCAAACGGG